rnacentral:lncRNA from 1 species
AAAUGCCCUGAAAAUAUGCAUUCAGGUAGUACCACGGCUGCUGAUUUCGUGUUUGUUAUCCUGACACUACUAAACUGGACUGCUGAUGUAUCCGUGAAGUGUUUGUGAGUGGAUUGAGCUGCCUCUGCUGACUUGGGAACUGAUCUGCUGAUUUCCAGAUAACACAGACAGCAGUUGCUCCAAACAACCUUUCUAAACAGAGUCCAGCAUGAGUCUGCGACAUGAAGUCACAUCAGGAUACAUCUCCAGGUGGUCAACUAAGCAAUCAUGCUUAGCAAAGGUUGGAAGCUGGGACUGCCUUCGCCGGGGCUGCCACAGUGGCCAGAGGAGAUUUAUUACCGACUGCUAAGGAGUUAGUGGAUAUUAAUGUCUUCCAAUUGAAGGAUGAACUUACACAAGCUAUUUGGCUUUAAUAUUGACAGCGUGGAGAGACAGAAGACCAGCUGGGCUGGGCCACGGCUUCAGCUUAUAUCUCACCAUCUUAGCCCCCAGAGAAACCUGUCCUCAGCUGCUCAGAGGAGAACCAUGCUUCUGUGGAGACUGUGAGGAAGAUGAUGCAAGGAAAAGCCGGAGUCAGAGGGGGAAUUUCACAGAGAAGAGACCAAACCACCCCUCGGAGAGACUCUAGAACCAAGAGAGAACACUUGUGUUGUUUUAAACCACAAAGUUCAUGGCUCCUUGUAGA